UCUUUUAACUGUGAAUGAAUGUCUAACAGAUUUCAAUUUUAUGAUUGAAAUUUAACCAUGUUGUUGGGAUCACCUUAAAUUAAUGGAAAGCGAUUCGUUUUUUCUAUGUUUUCCUCGCAAUUGGCAAUGUAGCAAUUGACUACUUUGGGUCAUUGUUUGAAUCUUUGGUCCAGGGAUCGGAUUCUGAGGUUGUGUUGCGAUUCAUUGAUAACUGAGGGGAGAGACCUGCAAACCACUAUUUGUUCUUCUCCUGAGUUAGGGCUUCCAUUCUGCUCCUGAUUCUAGGAUUCGGAUAAAGAUUUCUUCACCAGGGGCUAAUUUGAAGACAUGUCAUCUAUUUAGGCGUUCAAGUUUCUGAUCCAUCGCUUCAGAAUCAUUUCACGCAGGUGGAGCUUCGGGGCCUCAAAUCUAAAGUAAGUCAGAUUUGUUAAUCUUGAGGUUCCUGUUGGAUUGCAGGAGACUUUACCUCAAGUUGUUCGCAAUUGACUACUUUGGGUCAUUGGUUGAAUCUUUGGUCCAGGGAUCGGAUUCUGAGGUUGUGUUGCGAUUCAUUGAUAACUGAGGGGAGAGACCUGCAAACCACUAUUUGUUCUUCUCCUGAGUUAGGGCUUCCAUUCUGCUCCUGAUUCUAGGAUUCGGAUAAAGAUUUCUUCACCAGGGGCUAAUUUGAAGACAUGUCAUCUAUUUAGGCGUUCAAGUUUCUGAUCCAUCGCUUCAGAAUCAGUUCACGCAGGUGGAGCUUCGGGGCUUCAAAUCUAAA
rnacentral:lncRNA from 1 species